UGUUUCACUCAAUAAACGAGUGAGGAAAAAAAGAAAUUCAAGCAACAGACUUUGUGUGCAGGUUACACAAGUUUGCGUCAAUGUUUGUGAUGAAAAGAAAAAUACUUUGGCAGAAAUCUUUGUUCCUGGAUACCUCAUAGUUUCUUGGAUGCAUGUAAGAUAUGUCUCACAGAAUCAUGGACCCAGGAGCAAAGAGAUGUUAACAACCUUGUGUAAAUUGGGUUUGAAAAGGUUUCUGGCAUGGAAGAAACCAGUCAUUAAUACUGGACUGAGUCCCUCCAGAAAACCCCUAUAGACCCCUUAACCAAAAAAAAGCAACAAAAAAAUAAAGUAAAACAAAAUGGUGCAAAAUGUAUCGACUCAAACAGUUAGAAAAUAUUUAUAGCCAAUUUGGACCUCUUGUUGCCUGUGAAUUGUAAAUUCCUAAAUUUAUGAGAAAAAUGCAAACAAAGUAUGUUGCAGCAGAAGUGUAGAUGUGCGUCAUCACUAAACGGUUUAGAAAUACGGUGUGACUUACUAGUGUGCUUUAUAUUUGUGCACAGAGGAAUAGGACAUGUUUGUGUCGGUAGAGCUUUGGGCAUAGCUUGGAGAAUUCUUCGGCUGAAGUAACUGUUAUACAGACGAAUGACAAGUCAUCGGGUGGGAGGGGUGAUGAUGUAUUUAUUGUGGCAUUUCCUUGGCCGCAUCUGUCAGAAAAGAAAUUUUUAUCUAUUUUUAAAGUUUUUCUAAAUUUGUAAGUGAGAAUGUAGUCGGUAGGAAAAGAAAAGUCCCCCCACUCUUGUCCUGAUGGUUUGUCAGAAGACACAGUGCUAGUCGGCUAGGUAGGAUGCUUUGCUGUAUAGUGUGAGUGUGUACUGCUACUGCCUAGCAACUGUCUGACUAGCAUAUAGCAGCCUAGAUUUACCCAGGAAUCUGAGCUAGCUCCAUGGCAUCUUCAUUACAAAGUCUGUAUUAUAAGCUCCACACCAAUGAAGUACACACACUCAACAGACAUUUGGAUAGGCAUUUUUUUUUUCUAAGAAAGGGCCAGCAUUUAGGCCAACCAAUUUGUCCACAUUGGACAAUCAAAUACCAUUUAUUCCAGCAAAAUGUCACAAUUUGACUAGCCUCGGGAAAAAAUUGGUACAUUGUCAGUUGUCAUGCAAAAAGGACAACUCUUAAUUUUGCUGCUUUUAUUGUGUUGUCUGAAAACAAUGUGAAAGUGUGGUCAAAUUUUUGGGUCUCGCAUGCAAAAGCAAGAGAGUACUUCAAUGAUAGUAUUUUACAUCCACAUGUGGUUACCAAGGUGGCCAACUUUUGGGCAUAGUAAAGUUAACAUGGUAUACAAACCUGUUCCAUUCUCUAGAUACUGAGGUUACACUAUUUCACGAAAGCUAAAGCCAUGUACAUGUUAAUCGUAUGAUAGAAACUUUGUAUAUACAAUGAGCUAAUGUUCAGAGCCAACCUCUUGAAGCAAAAAAGCAUCAAAAUUCUAUGUGUUUCUGUACCUACCAAUGAGGUAUGGUAGGAGUUGAGGUUUUCAAACUUUGCAGCAUGGCAAGUAAUGUAACUUGUAAGGAGAAAUAUAUUGGCUGUCACGUCAUGUAAAAUUGAUUUGGCAUGACUUUUCAAAAAUGUAUUUUGACUGGUAAUGAUAUGUAUUUCUGAGUUGCUGGCAAAAGUUUGGAAUUGGAGUUUGAAAAUAAACAUGUAUCAAUUAUUCAAAGUAAACAUGUAUCAAUUAUCAAAAACAGGCACCUACAUAACCAGUAAUGUUUCUGGAUGCAUGGAGGAUUGUUGUUUUUAGAUUGCUGAAUACUGAAUACUUGGCAACAUUGUGUGCUUCCAGUCAAGCUCUGGUUGUACACACCAUGUAUUUUCCAGACACAAAAUUGUUUCCUGUAUAACUCACAACAGUCUUAAUUUUCAGGACAAAUAUACUAGUAUACUAGAGGAAAACAUAUUGUAAACAAAGCUAGAAAUAAUCUAAAUGGAAAAAAGUACCAUAUUCUUAAUAAUGUGUGAGUCUUCAUAUUGACACAGGGUGUUGAAUAGAACUUGUUUGCUGUUAAUCUAAGUUGAGCACAUAUUUAUUGGUAUGAAUUCAUAUUAAGGUGAUGUUUAGGAGGGUCCUA